rnacentral:rRNA from 1 species
GGGUCAGUAGGUUGGUCGUGCCACCGGUACGUACUGGUCUCACUGAUUCCUCCUUCCUGAAGAACCGUGAUGCCAUUAAUUUGGUGUUGCGGGGAGACAGGACUGUUACUUUGAAAAAAUUAGAGUGUUUAAAGCAAGCUAACGCUUGAAUACAUUAGCAUGGAAUAAUGAAAUAGGACGAUCGAUCCUAUUUUGUUGGUUUCUAGGAUUGACGUA